UGUUAAACAGCUCAGUCUUGAGCUAGUUAGCUACGCUAGGCUAACCACUUCCUGAUUCCAGCCUCACACAGACGUGUGUGAGAUGAUGGGUGUCCACAAUCCCAUUAUCUCGUUUACAGAAGGCUUUACUGUUCCUGUACAGGCAGAAGUCAAAUAGUGAAAAGCAAGCAAGAAACUGGAAGACCCGCAAUAAAAUUGUGUUGCCAAAGAGUGUUAUUUUCCAGGAGAGACGAUGGUGGGAAAGGUCGUGGGCAGCAUGUCAACAAGCUCAGCGGCUUAUUUUUGGCCUUUAAUUGCUGUUUUUCGUCACUUGCAUGCUCUCUCUCUCUCUCUCUCUCUCACACACACACACACACACACACACACACACACACACACACACACACAAUGCAACAAACUGGCAUUUGAAUCUGUACAUGCUCUUAUACACAAACCUGGAAAUCAGACGCUUUCAUGCACACAAACAUGCAAAGUCAAACACUACUACACACUCACACAUAUUGAGAAAAAGCACCGUGCACAAGGGCCUUGUACACAUACGCAAACACAUACACACACACACACACUGAAGCACACAGCGGUGUGUUUUGGCCGCGUCAGGCUUUGAGACCGACGUGGCUCUUCUAUCAUUCAUUCCCUCAGAAGUGUUUUUCAUCCUCUUUUUCCCUGUGGAAAACAGAAUUCAUGACCCGUCACCUUUUUUGCUGACUGCACAGGCCAUCCGCUGCCUUGGUAAACGAUUUCCCGGCUAUUUUAGUUGCCUCACAAAACACUUGAUGACACAAGUGGCAUGAAAAGCUCACAUUUUAGCGAGGUGUCCCUUUGUGCGACGAGAGAAAGGGAGUGAGAGACGAAGUGCGGCGAAGGUGUUCACAGGCGAAGAUGAAGCGAGGAAGGGAGAGGUUACCUUCAGAAUGACAGCAGAUCGGAGGAUUUGUGGUGAAUGUGAGAGAGAAGACUCCAUCGAUGGUUUCCCAGCGUGUGUGUGAGCGAGCACGCCGCUAGUGUGUAACUGUGUGUUUUAAAUAAGGCCCCGGCACCGGGCCGAGAGGUUGUUCGCCCUUGAAGGAAUGACGCGAGUGUGGAUGAGGAGGGACCUUUUUACCAUGUCCCAUUGCUCAGGACAAAUAAAAAGAAAUAAUGCACACACACACACACACACACACACAAUGACAAGUGGUGCCCUGAAUCUGUCACGGCCUCGGUCCCCCAUUUCUUACAGUCAGAUAAGAAUUUCCACAAAGGACUCGUCGCAAUCUCACCGUGCUCCCACCCCCUCCCCGUCUCAUUCUCCACAUAAUUUAGAGCAUCUCUCAGCAGCGCCUAACAACUCCCUCAUCCUUGUACGAACCUGAGCAGGUUCAAAUAA